rnacentral:rRNA from 1 species
UAACCAGUACGAAAGACUGGCUAAUACCGCAUACGAACUGAGGUUGAAAGCGAGGGGAUCGCAAGACCUUGCGCUGAUGGAUGAGCCGAAGUCGGAUUAGCUUGUUGGUGGGUAAUGGCCUACCAAGGCGACGAUCCGUAGCUGGUCUGAGAGGACGACCAGCCACACGUGGGACUGAGACACCGGCCCAGACCUCCGUACGGGGAGGCAGCAGGUGGGGAAUAUUGGACAAUGGGCGCAAGCCUGAUCCAGCCAUGCCGCGUGCGGGACGAAGGCCUUCGGGUUGUAAACCGCUUUCAGCCGGAAAGAAAUCGCCAAGGCUAAUAUCCUUGGUGGAUGACGGUACCGGAAGAAGAAGCACCGGCUAACUACGUG